rnacentral:rRNA from 1 species
CGCAGCCGCGGUAAUUCCAGCUCCAAUAGCGUAUAUUAAAGUUGUUGCAGUUAAAAAGCUCGUAGUUGAAUUUCGGGAUCAGUUGGUCGGUCGUGCCUCGGUACGUACUGGUCAAAUUGAUUCCUACCUUCUGACGAACCACGAUGUCAUUAAUUUGGUGUCGUGGGGAAUCAGGACUGUUACUUUGAAAAAUUAGAGUGUUUAAAGCAGGCUCGCGCUUGAAUACAUUAGCAUGGAAUAAUGAAGUAGGACGUUUGAUUCUAUUUUGUUGGUUUCUAGGAUCGACGUAAUGAUUAAUAGGGAUAAUUGGGGGCAUUAGUAUUCAAUUGUCAGAGGUGAAAUUCUUGGAUUUAUUGAAGACUAACUACUGCGAAAGCAUUUGCCAAGGAUGUUUUCAUUAAUCAAGAACGAAAGUUAGGGGAUCGAAGACGAUCAGAUACCGUCGUAGUC